rnacentral:rRNA from 1 species
UAAGAACGGCCAUGCACCACCACCCACAGAAUCAAGAAAGAGCUAUCAAUCUGUCAAUCCUUACUAUGUCUGGACCUGGCGAGUUUCCCCGUGUUGAGUCAAAUUAAGCCGCAGGCUCCACUCCUGGUGGUGCCCUUCCGUCAAUUCCUUUAAGUUUCAGUCUUGCGACCAUACUCCCCCUGGAACUCAAAGACUUUGAUUUCUCAAAAAAUGCCGAAGGAAUCAACAGGCAACCGCCUCCAAUUUCUUGGUAGCAUAGUUUAUGGUUAAGACUAGGACGGUAUCUAAUCGUCUUCGAUCCCCUAACUUUCGUUCUUGAUUAAAGAAGACAUCCUUGGCAAAUGCAUUCGCAUUAGUUUGUCUUUAACAAAUCCAAGAAUUUCACCUCUGACAGUUAAAUACAAAUGCCCCCAACCAUCCCCAUCAAUC